GAUAAACGCUGGCGGCGUGCAUGAGACAUGCAAGUCGAACGGACGAUCGGGCUUGCUCGAUCGUUAGUGGCGGACGGCUGAGUAACGCGUAGGUGACCUGCCCCGAAGUGGGGAAUAACUGCCCGAAAGGGUGGCUAAUACCGCAUGUGCUCACACGUUCAUUCAUGUGUGUAAAGCAGCAAUGCGCUUCGGGAGGGGCCUGCGUCCGAUUAGCNCGUUGGUGGGGUAACGGCUUACCAAGGCGACGAUCGGUAGGUGGUCUGAGAGGACGAUCACCCAGACUGGGACUGAGACACGGCCCAGACUCCGUACGGGAGGCAGCAGGUCGGGAAUUUUGCUCAAUGGGCGAAAGCCUGAAGCAGCAACGCCGCGUGAGUGAUGAAGG
rnacentral:rRNA from 1 species